UACAGAGGUGGCAAGCGUUGUUCGGAAUUACUGGGCGUAAAGGGCGCGUAGGCGGCCCGUCAAGUCCCGUGUGAAAGCCCCCGGCUCAACCGGGGAACGGCGCGGGAAACUAGCAGGCUUGAGUUCGGGAGAGGGAAGCGGAAUUCCUGGUGUAGCGGUGGAAUGCGCAGAUAUCAGGAGGAACACCGAUGGCGAAGGCAGGUCACUGGGCCGCAACUGACGCUGAGGAGCGAAAGCAUGGGGAGCGAACAGG
rnacentral:rRNA from 1 species